AACGCGAAGAACCUUACCUACCCUUGACAUCCAAAGAAGAUUGCAGAGAUGCGAUUGUGCCGAAAGGAACUUUGAGACAGGUGCUGCAUGGCUGUCGUCAGCUCGUGUUGUGAGAUGUUGGGUUAAGUCCCGUAACGAGCGCAACCCUUAUCCUUAGUUGCCAGCAUUAAGUUGGGGACUCUAAGGAGACUGCCGGUGAUGAACCGGAGGAAGGCGGGGACGACGUCAAGUCAUCAUGGCCUUUAUGGGUAGGGCUACACACGUGCUACAAUGGACAGUACAAAGGGUUGCCAAACUGUGAAGUGGAGCCAAUCCCAGAAAGCUGUUCGUAGUCCAGAUUGAAGUCUGCAACUCGACUUCAUGAAGUCGGAAUCGCUAGUAAUCGCGAAUCAGAAUGUCGCGGUGAAUACGUUCCCGGGCCUUGUACACACCGACUGUAC
rnacentral:rRNA from 1 species